AAUUUUGGACAAUGGGGGCAACCCUGAUCCAGCCAUCCCUCGUGUGCGAUGAAGGCCUUCGGGUUGUAAAGCACUUUUGGCAGGGAAGAAAAGGCUCUGGCUAAUACCUGCAGCUGCUGACGGCACCUGCAGAAUAAGCUCCCGCUAACUACGUGCCCGCAGCCGCGGUAAUACUUAGGGUGCUAGCGUUAAUCGGAAUUACUGGGCGUAAAGCGUGCGCAGGCGGUUCGGCAAGAAGGAUGUGAAAUCCCAGGGCUUAACCUUGGAACUGCAUUCUUAACUGCCGGGCUAGAGUAUGUCAGAGGGGGGUAGAAUUCCGAGUGUAGCAGUGAAAUGCGUAGAGAUGCGGAGGAAUACCGAUGGCGAAGGCAGCCCCCUGGGAUAAUACUGACACUGAGGUGCGAAAGCGUGGGGAGCAAAC
rnacentral:rRNA from 1 species